rnacentral:lncRNA from 1 species
UGGAUGAAUAGACGGUUGGAUAAUGGAUGGAUGGAUAGAUAUGCGCAUUGAUUUAUGGAUGGAGUAUAAGACUGAUGCAUGCAGUGCACCAGUGUCAGAGAGCAAAGAGAAGAACAGACAACGUGCCCAACCAGACACUGAAACUCACUUCAGAGACCUUGUCAGCAAUCCUUUACCAACGGAACACACAGAGAAAGAAAACACAGCGCAAGAUUUCAGGCAGGUUCAACACAAGCUGCUGGAGAAACCUGAAGAAUCUGAGAAGCAACAGAAGGAUAAAGAGAGUCCAAAGGAAGAAGAAAGACAUGGACAAAACAAAAAGGAAGGAAAUGGAGAAUUUCACAAUGUAGCAGUUGCCUUACUCAGGUCUGCAUCGGGGAUGGACACUACAAGAAACGUCUACUCAUCAAUCAACUUUGACCCAGGUGUAGAGAGGGAUGGUUUUAAGACAACAGAAUCAUGGGAGAGGAG